rnacentral:rRNA from 4 species
GGGGGGACGCAGUAGGAUAGGCGAAGCGUACGAUUGGAUUGUACGUCUAAGCAGUGAGAUUGAGUGUUAGGCAAAUCCGGCACUCUUAAGAUUGAGCUGUGAUGGGGAGAGGAAAUUGUUUCCUCGAGUCGUUGAUUUCACACUGCCGAGAAAAGCCUCUAGAUAGAUAAUAGGUGCCCGUACCGCAAACCGACACAGGUAGUCAAGAUGAGAAUUCUAAGGUGAGCGAGCGAACUCUCGUUAAGGAACUCGGCAAAAUGACCCCGUAACUUCGGGAGAAGGGGUGCUCUUUAGGGUGCAAGCCCAGAAGAGCCGCAGUGAAUAGGCCCAAGCGACUGUUUAUCAAAAACACAGGUCUCUGCUAAACCGUAAGGUGAUGUAUAGGGGCUGACGCCUGCCCGGUGCUGGAAGGUUAAGAGGAGUGGUUAGCUUCUGCGAAGCUACGAAUCGAAGCCCCAGUAAACGGCGGCCGUAACUAUAACGGUCCUAAGGUAGCGAAAUUCCUUGUCGGGUAAGUUCCGACCCGCACGAAAGGCGUAACGAUUUGGGCACUGUCUCAACGAGAGACUCGGUGAAAUCAUAGUACCUGUGAAGAUGCAGGUUACCCGCGACAGGACGGAAAGACCCCGUGGAGCUUUACUGUAGCCUGAUAUUGAAAUUCGGCACAGCUUGUACAGGAUAGGUAGGAGCCUUUGAAACGUGAGCGCUAGCUUACGUGGAGGCGCUGGUGGGAUACUACCCUAGCUGUGUUGGCUUUCUAACCCGCACCACUUAUCGUGGUGGGAGACAGUGUCAGGCGGGCAGUUUGACUGGGGCGGUCGCCUCCUAAAAGGUAACGGAGGCGCUCAAAGGUUCCCUCAGAAUGGUUGGAAAUCAUUCAUAGAGUGUAAAGGCAUAAGGGAGCUUGACUGCGAGACCUACAAGUCGAGCAGGGUCGAAAGACGGACUUAGUGAUCCGGUGGUUCCGCAUGGAAGGGCCAUCGCUCAACGGAUAAAAGCUACCCCGGGGAUAACAGGCUUAUCUCCCCCAAGAGUUCACAUCGACGGGGAGGUUUGGCACCUCGAUGUCGGCUCAUCGCAUCCUGGGGCUGUAGUCGGUCCCAAGGGUUGGGCUGUUCGCCCAUUAAAGCGGUACGCGAGCUGGGUUCAGAACGUCGUGAGACAGUUCGGUCCCUAUCCGUCGUGGGCGUAGGAAAUUUGAGAGGAGCUGUCCUUAGUACGAGAGGACCGGGAUGGACAUACCUCUGGUGUACCAGUUGUCGUGCCAACGGCAUAGCUGGGUAGCUAUGUAUGGACGGGAUAAGUGCUGAAAGCAUCUAAGCAUGAAGCCCCCCUCAAGAUGAGAUUUCCCAACUUCGGUUAUAAGAUCCCUCAAAGAUGAUGAGGUUAAUAGGUUCGAGGUGGAAGCGUGGUGACACGUGGAGCUGACGAAUACUAAUCGAUCGAAGACUUAAUCAAUUU